UGCUGGAUGAGAAGACGUUUGGUAAGCACUGCCCGGUGCCCGAUGGGGUAAACGGUGGCCGGAGGGUUUUAAUGUAGCGUAAUACCUCGCCCUUUAAUUGUGGGCUCGCAUGAAGUGUCCACGAGGGAGUUACUGUCUCUGCCCAAUGGUGACAAAUUGAAUUUUAGGUGAAAUUGCCUGGAUUGGGCUAAAAGACGAUAAGACCCCGUGCAGCUUCACACCAUUUGUUAAUGAUGGCGAAGAUGUUGUUUGGUUGGGGCAACAGGGGAAUAAACAAAACUUUCUUGGGACAUGGAUAGUUUUAAAAUUGGGAUCACUGGCGGGUCACGAUCUGGUUUGACAGAGAAGCGGAAAAGUUACGCCGGGGAUAACAGCGCAAUCUUCAAUUGGAGACCUUAUCUGAUUGUGGGCUUGCGACCUCGAUGUUGAAUCAGCGGGAACCUUUUGGCGGAGAGGCUUUUAGGUAGGACUGUUCGCCCUCUAAGACGCU
rnacentral:rRNA from 1 species